rnacentral:rRNA from 1 species
UACGAAGGGGGCGAGCGUUGUUCGGAAUUACUGGGCGUAAAGGGCGCGCAGGCGGCGUCGGAAGUCGGGCGUGAAAGCCCCGGGCUCAACCUGGGAAUUGCGCUUGAUACUCCGAUGCUGGAGUUCGGGAGAGGAGAGUGGAAUUCCCAGUGUAGAGGUGAAAUUCGUAGAUAUUGGGAAGAACACCGGUGGCGAAGGCGGCUCUCUGGACCGAGACUGACGCUGAGGCGCGAAAGCGUGGGGAGCAAACAGG